rnacentral:rRNA from 1 species
AAUAUUGCACAAUGGGGGAAACCCUGAUGCAGCUAUGCCGCGUGUGUGAAGAAGGCCUUCGGGUUGUAAAGCACUUUCAGUAGUAAGGAAAGGUAAGUGAUUAAUACUCGCUUACUGUGACGUUUGCUACAGAAGAAGCACCGGCUAACUCCGUGCCAGCAGCCGCGGUAAUACGGAGGGUGCAAGCGUUAAUCGGAAUAACUGGGCGUAAAGCGCACGCAGGCGGUUUGUUAAGCCAGAUGUGAAAGCCCGGGGCUCAACCUCGGAACUGCAUUUGGAACUGGCAGACUAGAGUCUUGUAGAGGGGGGUAGAAUUUCCAGUGUAGCGGUGAAAUGCGUAGAGAUUGGAAGGAAUACCAGUGGCGAAGGCGGCCCCCUGGACAAAGACUGACGCUCAGGUGCGAAAGCGUGGGGAGCAAACA